rnacentral:rRNA from 1 species
UACGUAGGGGGCAAGCGUUAUCCGGAUUUACUGGGUGUAAAGGGAGCGUAGGCGGCCCUGUAAGUCUGAUGUGAAAAUUUGGGGCUCAACCCCGGGACUGCUUUGGAAACUGCAUAGCUGGAGUGCUGGAGAGGCAAGCGGAAUUCCUAGUGUAGCGGUGAAAUGCGUAGAUAUUAGGAAGAACACCAGUGGCGAAGGCGGCUUACUGGACCGUAACUGACGUUGAGGCUCGAAAGCGUGGGGAGCAAACAGG